UAUGUCACAGAUUAAUGAAUCUGACCUCAUAAAAGGUCUUGAAGAUGCUAUUACUUCAGUAAUUAAUAUCAUCCACAAUCAUUGUGUCUUGGCACAUCUCACAUAAUUUCACUUUAUGUAAGUGUGUAGAUUGUCGGAGUCCAGCUCCAACAGGGGGUCUCAGGAGACGAACGGAUGGUGAGGAGUCAGCAAAAGCGGGUGGAGAAACAACACAGACACCAAAGUGAAGAAAAACACAGAAUGAUCCAGAGAAAACAACAAAACUCAGAAAGAGCAGUUAAAUGUAAUGAAGCUUCCCUGGGAAAACAUUCUGGAUAAAUGAAAGCAUGGGACUUACCAGAAAACCAGGCGAGGCCAUACAAACAACACCAAGCCAAACACUACCUCAAGGAGGGUUUUACAGGUGACUGAGGAUAACAAAAUUGUGAAAAUACGCCUGGUAUUGAACUGAACGAGAAGUAUAUUUUUCAAUCAGCCCAAGCCAAUGUGGAAUUCAUUCACUUCUCUGAAUACAUGGAUUUAUCUCCUUUCCUUAACUGCAGACCAUGAAACCUCCAACCUCUGGUCCUGCCUAGGCUGCACUGUUCUCUAUAUCCAAAUAAAAAGGUCUUUCAAAAAUGAA